rnacentral:lncRNA from 10 species
AUGUUUUUGCUUUGAUAACACAGUUUGUUAGCUGAGUUUUACACUCUACUAUUUUUUUCUCAAUAUGGAAACACGUCCCUUGGGGGCUGGUGGCAGUCCUCUGCUUCUUCUCACAUGGACAUGUGCAUGGCUUCAGGUGGAAGAACUAUGUUAAAAGCAGGACAUCUCCACUCCUCCAGAUGAGUUAUGUGUUAGGCUGAAGUAAGGAGUACGGAAAGCCCAGUUGCUCUAUAUGAUACAAAGCAAGAAGAGUUUAAACUGUUGGAGGGAAGAUGGGAACUUGGAGAGAGGAAAGAAAGGACCAGCAGCAUGGAAUUUUACAUAGGAGAAGCAGGGAAGAGAUGACUUCUCUCUGAGGCAGAGAGCGGCACAAAAAGGACUUGGGAGCAAAACAAUGGCAAAGAGGUAACCUUUCCAUUGUUCGGCAAGGAAUGUACUAUGAGCCUCUCACUGUCACCCUUACAGUAUUUUUAUAUAACUUAUGAUCCUCAUUAAAUAUUUUGUGUGUGUGUAAAAAUAGAAACUUUGAAAGAAAUUCAGCAGGGAGCAGAUGUCUAUAUCAGAGUCAGUGGUUCUGAAACAGUACAAUUUGGCCCCCUGGAGAACAUUUGACAAUGUCUUGGGGCUCUGUUGGUUGUCACAACAGGGAGAUAGGGAGUGCUAUGUCAUUUAGUUUAUGUUUACCAGGGAUGACAGUAAAUGUUUUACAUUCCAUUAAAAAGCCUUGCAGAGAGAGAGAGAGAAAGAGAAAGAAAAAAUAUCUGUUGCAAAAUGUCAAUAGUGAUGACAUGAAUAAAUUCUGAUCCAAAUUAUUGCAUUUAAAGCAAAACUAUUAUACAGAAAAGGAAGUUAUGAGCAAAGGAGGUUUCUGGUAUAAGACAACAAGUUAGCAAAACUUCCUGGGAAUUCUGCAUAAAACUCAAAAAACUAAGAGAUAUCCUCACCUUGCCUCAAAGGAUGUGAGUUUACCAAAUUCCAGGGCAGCCAUGUCUCCAAGAACAUCCGAGUUUCUUCUCUACGAAAAGAAAAACAAAAAAAAAGGUUAGUCAUACAUUUAUUAAUUUCAGGGCCAAAGAGAUAAUAAGGGGACAAAGAAUCAACUCCAAAGAGUCUCCUGCUCUUCAACAGCAGUGGGAAGACAUGUAUGAACUAAUGACCUGUCAAAUCCCAAUAAGGUAGAUGGGGAUCUGCAUGGUCUGUGGCUUCAGUAAGCAAGGAAUUACUUAUACCACUAGCAUGCUGACUGUCCAAGAUAUAGGACUGCCAUGCUUUAAAGAGCAGUUUCCUGAUGACACAAAAUAUUCACCUGGACAUAGAACCUCAGUCUCAGCCCCAGGCCUGUCCAUCAACACUAUCCCCAGACGGCUUGGAUUCUAGGAUCUCUGAAGCUCAUCACAAGUACAGAUUCAGUGUGGUUCUGAGAGUUUCUUAGUGCUGAGUGCGAACAGGAAGAGCACAGGUAGCUCCCUUGAAAAGAUAAGGAAAUUAUUUUAAUGUUUUCAGUCUGUUGGGGAAGAAGAGGGUGAGGGGCAAAAAGACCCACUACGAAUAGUUAAAUCAGUACCAGCCAUCAGGCUAACCCAGGGUCCAGGUGA